ACAUAGCUUUGGUUUUUGGUUUAUUUUUUGUUCUUUUAAAUGUUUUACUAAACCCAAACCAGUGGAACGGAUUGGUCGUUACUCACUAUUGCAUUGCCUAUUGACCGAAAAUCCAUCACCGCAAAAGAAAACGGAAAUUAAAAUUAUAUUUAUCGUUAAACACGAUUUUAUUCAGACAAUAUCGAAAUAAAUCAUAUCAUUUCGAGCAAUAAAUCAAUUGUUCAUGAACGUUAUUUAAUUAAUAGGUAUA